GAUGAACGCUGGCGGCGUGCCUAAUACAUGCAAGUCGAGCGAACAGACGAGUUUCUUGCUCCUCUGACGUUAACGGCGUACGUGUGAGUAACACGUGGAUAACCUACCUAUAAGACUGGGAUAACUUCGGGAAACCGGUGCUAAUACCGGAUAAUAUAUUGAACCGCAUGGUUCAAUAGUUAAAGACGGUUUUGCUGUCACUUCUAGAUGUAUCCGCGCCGCAUUAGCUAGUUGGUAAGGUAACGGCUUACCAAGGCAACGAUGCGUAGCCGACCUGCGAGGGGGAUCGGCCACACUGAAACUGAGCAACGGUCCAGACUCCGACGGGAGGCAGAAGUAGGGAAGCGUCCGCAAUGGGCGAAAGACUGAAGGAGGAACGCCGCGUGAGUGAUGAAGGUCUUCGGAUCGUAAAACUCUGUUAUUAGGGAAGAACAAAUGUGUAAGUAACUAUGCACGUCUUGACGGUACCUAAUCAGAAAGCAACGGCUAACUACGUG
rnacentral:rRNA from 1 species